CAAAUUUCAUUGAUAAUUAGGGACAGUUGUAGGUUACAAAUUUUGCUGAAGACCUUUUAACUAUUCCUAAUUUUGUGCAGGUUUUUUUAGUCCUUCAAUAGCAAACAGUUCAAUAUUUCUAUAGAACAAUCUUAAAUCUCAAAGCCUUCCCCUGGCUACUGGGCAGGAACCAGGACAAAGCGCCAGAACCUGGGCCAUGUUCUGGAGAGGACAUGAGUGUAUCUUCCGAAACCAGGUAGGUCCUUGAAAGAGAGAGUUGUCAGCAAGUGGUCUGCCUGUAAAUCACGGUGGAGUUUCGAGUGAUUUUGUCCUCAGACUGCUAAUGCCUUCAGAGAGUUAAAAAGUCCCAGAGCUUGCAGCCUGUGCAUCAUUUCCAAUUCGAUCCUGCUAAAGACUCUUCCUAAAUAAUGGCAUGGCUGGCUGUACCCUUAUCCCCUCGGCUUUUUAUUUCUGUGCCUAUAUGUAAUACGGGCGAAAUUACAUUUGGAUUUAAGUCUACCUUGAAAAUCCAUUUUUCUGUGUAGCUGGAGAACUGCACGGGAAAAGAAAUGGAGUUUUCAAAUUUGCAUUGUCCUUGAUCUCUUGCGAUCACUUCCAAGUUUUCUUCUAGUAAUGUAAUUUCAUAUAGCAGCAGAUUAGCCCAUUUAAAACGUUAUUUGAUGCAUCUGAAUGAAAAGCAUGAUGCUGGCUUGCGGUAGGUGUUUUGGAGCCUCUAAGCAGACAAAGGGCAACACAAACUGGAAUUAAAGCUUGGUUAAAAAAAAAAGAUUGUAUUUCUUCAGAUCUUCUGGUCCAAGUUAAUUCAUUUAACUCAUUCAUUUAGCUUCUCUGUCAUAGUAGUUCUUUUUUUGGUUAAUAUUUUUAUGUCAGAGGCAUUUUGUGAGCAAGGCAUCUGUCUUUACGUGCUCUUUGUGCUCAGUUUUCCCUGUUGGGAUGAUGGUGGGCUGUUGUUUUUUUUCAGAGACGAGAGGUUUCUGUGUUGAAAGAAAUCUUUCAGCACCCCACCCACAGCUGAGAAGUUUGGGGCUUGCUUUCUUUUUUCUUCUUCAUCUUGUUGAUGAUUUUAAAUUUGGCUUUAGGGAACAUGUAAGUUACUGCGUUAGCUCAAGGCAUCCUGGUCAGCUCACCUCUUCGUGAGCACAGACUGAGUGACCCAGAGGGACAUCUCUUCCACCUUUGAGUUAAUUGGGUUUCUCGCUGGCAGCAAAAACCUUCCUGGGGGUGUUCCUCGCUGGGUUUUCUACUCUAGAUUUACCAGUUAGCAGUGUAAGUCUCUCGAAAUCAGUCUAUCUGAGAAUUAGAAAUAACAUCCACCUACAGUGACUGUUGGCAAAUCUGAGUGCAAAGCAGUUUGCUUGGAUAGCACUCACCAGGAUUGACCAAGGUUUUAUAGAAGACAUUUCAAUAUGAAACAUUUAUAUGACAUAAAAUACUCCACAUAAAAUUUCAUGGUCCGUGGGUGCUGCAUCUUGCUGUGCGUCUCAGAAAAAGACAGCUAUUCAUAAAUACAUGGUGGAAAGCGUUAGAAAUAGCUCUAAACAAGCAUUUUAUUUUCCAGAUUGUGAUGAAUUAUGUGAAAUAGCUGCGUUCCUUUGAUGGCUGCUGUUCCUUGAAGAAAUUGAAAGCAGUUGAAACGUUUUUAUUUUGCAAAGUAGUCAAGAGCUUAUGGGUAUGCCAGAAGUCAAAUACCAGCGAUGUGUUACCCGAGGUUAUAUCCUGCUUGUAUCUGAGCAUUUGUUUCUACAUUCGUUUGGGUCUGAGCAAUGCACUCCAAAAGGUUUUUACUAGAAGUUUGUUUUUUUUCUAAUACCUUCUCCCAUUGUGUAUUUAAAAAGUAAUGCACUGGUGAAUUAAAUAAGGGAUAUCUGUGCCCAAUUCCCUGUGCCAAACGUGCAGCCCUGUUGCCAGCAGUUUCCCAUCACAGCCAUACACGUGGUUAAGCUUCUCCAGUGUCUCAACCAUAUCCCUGUAACAUUUUGUAUGCAGAAAGUGCCGCUAAUAUUUGAAGAACUCUGAUCGUGAAUCUUAAUUUUCCACUUAAUAGCAGUCAAAUUUUAAUUACUAUUUUCAUUUCCAAGCUCAGAUGCUCGAAGCUUAGUGAUGGCUCAAGACAGCUGGAAAAUAAGUCUUAGAACAGAGGAAUUAUUUGAAAACAUUUACUUGAAGUUCAUUUCGGGUUGUCUUUUGACUGCAUUUUUGUGUUGGGAAGGUGUUUGAGCUGGGGCUGCAGGGGCAAGCAGGCAGGGGGGCGUUGUGCUGGGUGCUUGUACGAGGUGAGGAGUCCCCAAACUGCACCAUGCCCGACUCACUGCAGGUGGAAAAGGUGGGGAGGUGGCAUGGAGCGUGCAAAAGUGACUUGGGCUGUCACUUUAGUGACAUGGUCUAGAGGGAAAGCUCGUGCUUUGGCCAUUUCUGAAUGCAUGCUGGAGGCCUUUCAGUCCCUGUUGCCAUACUUUGUGGAAGAGCUUUCUCGCUAAAUUACUGUUUUACACAUCUUUGGGAUAAGCUUGACAGCCCUGUUGGGUGGCAAUGCUUUUGUUUGGGGCAGAAAUGGUUUAGUUUGUGGCUUGGCUGCUGCUAACGAGGUGCUUGUGUUUCUUCCUAGCAGGCUUUUUCCUGCUGGUGGGACCAAAGUGGAGAUUCGAGAGGUCGGCUUUACAGGGUUACCUCUGCAGGGUCAGAACAUGUAGGAGCCCUUCUUUCCAGAUAGUCAAAUGCCAGGCUCCAUUCUGCAGUCCCACAGUAUAAAUACCCAGCUGUUGGAUGCUUUGAAGUUCUAGGUAAAUUCUUUUUAGGAGGCUAAAAUGUGGGCAUGUAUCAUUUGUAAAGCUUUUUUUUUUUGUAAUUUCUGACCAAUAACAUUAUGGCCACAAAGCUGAAACGCAAAGAAAACAGAAACACUAAGCCGAAAAGUUUUAAUAAUAAGCCCCUACUUUCAUCUGUCAAGCCAACUGAAUGCAGAAUGUAGAGGAUCAAAGUGUGAUUUCACACCUUCAGAGCAUCGGGACAGCAUCAUUACCAGUUUGUUAGCAGUGCAGAAGGAUCAGGUUGGUGUUUGACGUUACUGCUAGCUUGCAAAACUCCAGUUACACCGUGCAUCUCACUGUGGCAAGUGCUGGAUGCCAUCGUUUUCCCUUUCAAUUAAAACAGAACUGAGAGCACUCCGAAUUCUUCAGGAUGAGCCUUUUAAUUUUGCCUCGAUCACGUAGCAGCUCUUCCACAAAGCACCGUGAGCUGACUGGCCUUCCUCCAUUUCAGCAUGACACAUGAAAAAGCACCAGCGAUUCCUGCAAGGCCCAGAGGUGUAAUGAAGUCAGGAUGCAGACUGCCUGCCACUCAGCCCUGUCUGCUGCGUGCAAGAACAAAGGCUGACGGCAGCGUGGAGGGGAAUAGCAAGCUGUUAGUGACGUCUUGGGUCAGCGUACCCCGGUGUAAUCUUGCAUAAAUGAAUGGAGAUAAAAAACAAAACGAAACUUUGUUGUUACUGGAAGAAGGCGAUCUGGUAUCUUAGCUCCAGGGUGAUGGAAACAGCCUGAUAUUUUGCUAAUUGUGCGCGAGUUAGGAGAUCUGGCUCGUCACGUUACCAGCCUGCUUCCUGCUGCCUGCUUGUCAGGAACCUCAGGCUCAUGACUGACAGCUCUGCGCUGCUUGCUCGAGUAUCUGCCUUCGUCCCGUUUCAUUUGUAAUUCAGUGAGGCAGAGCAGCCUCCCCUUCCAAAACGACCAGAGGAGCCGCAGAUGCAGGCGCAGCUGUCUCGCAGAAGCAGCGCAGGAGCAUUUUGGUAGGCACACAGCAACAAACGGAGUCAAGCAGCAUCCUUGAGUCAAGCACGGUGCUGAGAGCACCUCGUGGUGCUGGAUGCGCCUUGACUCCAGGCUGCGAUUCCUCACUCGCCCUUUGGCACAUCCAGAGCGUGAGCCUCCGCCAGCUCCUGUGGACGUGGAGGCUGAUGGCUCGCUUGGGCACAGCACGAAGGGAUGCUGCCUGACAGCAGCUCGCUUGCUGCCUUCUUGGCUACAAAACCCAGAUUGCAUGUGGUUCAGACAAACACCCCGAGUAUUUGUCAAAAUAAUCUGAAAUCUCAUUUCCUGACCUGCGGAACGUGGCGUAAGUGGCAGAUGAGCAAUAAAAGCGUUCUCCUGAAGUCUCCUGUCAGCACCAUGCUGCUGUUGACUUCAGAUACCGCCUUGUUUAGCCUCGUGUUGGUGUCAGCAGAGGAAACGGAUGGGUUACAGCUGCCAAGUGAAGUGUCGUCAGAGAGUGGGGCUUCUCUGUGGAUUGCAGACUUGUGCAGAAAGUGUCUGCAAACUUCAGCUUGCCGUGGCGUGCCGACUACCUUGUCAGCAGCAUAAAUACUCGGUAACAAAAUGUGUAGAGCCAGGAUAUUGGAUUCUUCUGGUGCCUAGAAAGCUGUGUUUCACUAGUGAAGGCAUUCACCAGUUUUUGCAUCCAGCAUGCAAUUUUGAGCAGUUCCUGGGAGACAGGACUCGGAGCUGUACAAAUUGGCAGAGCCCUGAAGCAGCUGAGGACUCGUUAUCAUGGUAAGAGGACACAGCUACCAGCGCAGCAGAGGUGACAAGGGCUCGGGCAGUCUAAGUCACUGUUAAACUCGAGAUCUAAUUCCCAGCUCUUAUUAAGGACAUUAAAUCAGUGGAAACGAAGCACGCUGAUGGAGAGCACGUUGCAUUUUUGCUGCUUUGCAGGAGGGAACACAGUGCAGAGAGGGAAAUGAUUCACCCUGUGGAGACAACAAGGCAGUUAAUGGCUAGGCAUUCAUUUGGACCAUCUUAAUCCUGAAUUAAUGCCCUGGCAUUUAACUUGCAUUCUCUUUCUUGUCCUUUCCUUAAUUUUGACUUGAAUGUGUCUCAGUCUUGCUGUAAUGUUCCUCCACAGGCAACCUUUUCAGCCCGCUUUGUCUCUGCUCUGACAAGUUCAGGGCUGAAGGAGCACAGACUGCUUUUCUCUGACGUGCUGCUCAUCUUCCGUGUGGGUGCCAAAGGUUCGUGUUAUACAAAAAAGAUAAAAGGAAAAGGGGAGAAGCAGCCUGUUUUAUAAACUAAGUUUGACUUUCUACUUUUUUUAAUCUUUCGACAAAAUAAUCCCCUUGUCUGGCUCUCAGACAGUGUCUUAAAUCAGCCCGGUGCUGCACUGACUGCAGGCACAGCCAAGGCUCUUGUCGUAAUGCUUUACUCUCCAACAUCUUAGCAACAUCACCCCCACAAUCUAGUGCUUGUUGUGGUAAACAGAGAAUGUUUGGCAAGGAAAUUGGUCUUAAGACUGAGUCCCUAACAGUAAGUAACUCUUAAGUAACUCUCACGUCUCUCUAGCUGGUGUAAGAGGCAGUCCUGGCUGUAAUUCCUUGGCUUCAAGGGAAUUCUCUCUCUAGUGUGGUUAAAGUCGGUGGCAAUCAAUUCAGGGUGAUUAAUGUGAGUUAUUUUACGUGGGGAGAGAUGCAGAAUUGCACGGCACUUCAGGUUUCAUUGUUUGAUUCAAGCUUCCCAGACUGUAAAACUACAGCUGGGUAGGGGUAGGAGGGGAAUUCAGCCGUGUGCUAAACAAUCUGGGCUGGAGCACAUUGGAAUACGAGAUAAUAGCAAUUAGGUGUAGAACAAAAGCAUUUCUCUGCAGCCGAGAGUGAAGGAUUUAUUGAGUUGACAAGCCUGACACUUCCCUACAUCAUUCCUUGAGACUAAAAAUUAGACUUUUAACAGAAUUUCCUUUGUUUGGAGCCUCACUCCAGUCUGGGUAUACGUGCCAGCCUCGGUGCUGCUGUUGCUUUUGAAGGAUUUCUCUUUUCUCUCCCUUGGUUUCUCCGAUAAAACCUGGAUAUUGUUUUGGAGACCGCCAGUCUCAUAUUCCUGCAACAGCAGCAAAAUAAUCUGAAGAAAUAUCAAAUGAUGGAUCACCGAUUAAAAUGAGUGAGGAGACACUGGAAAAUUUUGCUAGGCAGCUGGCAGGUUACAUGAAGAGCUCGUGUUUUUAAUUGGACGUGAAGUUGGAGGCCUCGACAUAAGUACAGAUUUGUUCUUUCUUGCUUAUUUAUGCCCGGCGUAACCGAAUAAACUAAUCCUGAAUCAUGCUGGGAGGGCUGGUUGUUCUGCAGCGACGGCGUGUCCAGCACAUCAUCCUCGAGGCGUUUUCAGAAGGCAUCUCACAGGAUCCCAGCGCUGCUGAGGGCGGCGGGGACCUCUGCAGAUCCAUCUCAUCCAGCCCCUGAGCUCGUGGUGGAGUCAGCUGCAGCAGGCUGCCCAGGACGGCGUCCUGUGGGUGUUGGGCAUCUCCGAUGGAGACUGCAGCCUGCUCCUGUGCUCCAUCACCCUAUAGAGAUAGCAGCAUCCCUAAAUCCAGUUCCCAGAACCUCCAUGAAAAUCGGCAGCAGGAAUAAAGAGAGGAUGCUCUGGGAGGGAGCCACCAGCAAAAGGCUUUGAGAGCACGCGGAGCUCGGAGCACAGCCUCACCCCUCUCCCACCCGCAUCCAGGAGGAUGAAGGAGCUGGAGAGAGGAGGGGAAUAUCAAGGAGGCUGUAUUGUGCUGGGGGGAGGAGAGAAGUAAUGAUAGCAAAACCUGACUGCCUACAGAUCUGCAGGCUAUCUUUGCUUGCUGAAUGUGUGUUUUAAAGCCCGUUCUCAGUUUUGCUAGGUAUUCUGUAGCUGUGUGGGUAAAAGCGUGUGGGCUGCAAAUUGACUCUUGCACACCGACUAAAUGAGGCUUUAUUCUGGGCGGGAGAACUACCCACAAGCUAUUCAACACCGAGGGGAGCCCCAUUACCUCAUCCUGAUUACAGGCUCUGCGUAUUUUUGCUUGCUUUUUGCUUUUUUCCUGUGUUUAGCCAUACUUACUGCAGUGCUCAUUGGUUUUUGAGGGAUUUUUGCACAGCUCACGUUCUGUAAUUGACAGUUGCACCAACAAUAGAGAGACGCAUGCUAUGCAGACUGCUUAAAGAGGUCAGUGCUUUGGAAUGACUUCAUCUGGCGUUAUUAAUUCUUCAUUGUAAAAUUGCACAUCGUAUUGUAGCUGAGUCUGAUGUCGCGCUUGUUUCUCAGCAAGAAAUUACAGUGGAAAAAGAAAGUGCCCAGGAGCUUGCUGUGGGACACGAGGCUAUGGAAGAGAAGAGCUGGAGGUGGUAGGAGUGCUCCUAUAGACCCACAGGAACAGUAAGAACAACGAGAUGCUCGUAAUGAGACUUAAUAGGAUAAGAAAUGUUUUGCCAGACAUGGUGAUUGAUCGCUACAACAUUUCAGGAACCCCUUGGUCUUCGUGUGGUUUCCCGAUGUUUCUUCUCCUGUUGAGGUAUGCCAGGACAGCUCUCCAGACAGUUCCUGCUGCAGGAUGAUCCAAUUAAUCUUGGAAACGAAAUGCUUGAGGACAUCAGUAGGCUGUAACUCGACCUUUUCACUACUUUUGUCUCUUCUUGAGCAGCUUGGGGCUUCGUGGUGCCUGUUUAUUUUACCUGGGAGCUCAUUUGGUUGGGCCAGUGUUUGUAGUACCCAUACAUCAGGCUUAAACAUUUGGCUAAUUGCUUUGCUUGGCAUUCAGGGAGCCUGAAACUGCUGGUCUGUGUGUUCAAGUUACACUCGUACGGAGUGCUAAACCUUUGUUCUCAGUGCCAGCCCUCGUAGCACAAACAUGCAGCCUAUUUGAGCUAGGACAGCCACCUCCAUCCUCCGACAUCCCCUGCUCUUCCAGAGAGACUCGGGAAGAGCUACCAAAACAGAUCCGUGCCUCCAGGAACUCCUCAGCCUUUUGAUUUGUGUGUUCACCGGGGUCCAAGAAUUUAGGACGCAGAUCGGUGUGUUUUUAUCUUCAGCUUCUUCAGUGCUGGGCUUUGUCAACAGCUCAAUCGCUGCAAUCGGCUGGAGGAAGGGCAGGCAGCAGCAAGGCUGCUCCGUGUGUGUCUGGACCGGGGUUUGUUGCAGCCCUCACUAUGUUUGCUUCAAGCUGGCAUUAUCAGGCCCUCGUUUUUUAAGCUAUUUGCAUUGCAGAAUAUUUGCGCCAAGGCGUUGCUUAGCUUAGCGUGCUCCUGCUGUGCUGCUUUGUGUACUCGUGGUUGAGCUUCUCUUGGCCUGGGAUCUGGCUUUGGCCGUUGUCUGCUAUAAGGUUUUCCACUUAACCUCGUUCCCUCAUUCAAAUUGAUAGCCCUGCGCCAGCCCUUGACAUCCUGAAAUCUCUCUUGCUAAUAGGAAGUAGCUGGCCCUGAACGUUUUCUUCAGCAGCAGCGCUGCUUGUUUCGAGCAGUACAAAGCUGUGACGUGACAAAAGCGCGAGGGUUUUUUUACCCUCCUUCAAGUAAAAUAAGAAGCUCGCAUUUAUUCCUGGAUGCUGAGGCGAGGAUCUCUUUCCCAGUGUUUUCUAAGAGGUUGUGAGACGUUGAAGGAUUGCUCUAAUUAAAUGCACCCGCAAGCGUAUCCGAGGAUUUGAAGUAUGCGCUCACCUUUGGCCAGACAAACCUGUAAUCUUACGUGGAGGCCAACUCUUUUCCCCUCUAUUUGUAAUGAAUCCCAAAGCACUUGUAACCGAUUCAGCUCGUGUUGCAUCAAGGCUUUCUCACGAAUAUUUGCUAAGGUAGUGCAGGCUUACAGCAAACACCAGCACUUCUGCCUUAGCUGGAGACUCGCAGGGAUUUGGAGGUAGGGAGGGGGAAAUCAGAGCUGGCCCCGAGGCGUGCUCGUGGUUGUGGUGUUGGUGGCACACUACAGGACUCCGGCAGGCAGAGCUUGCUGGGGACAUCACGUUUGGGGGUGGGAAGUUGUUAAGCAGCAGGACAGGCUUCACAGGAGAUGAACUUGGUCUUAGAGCCUUUGCUUUCCAGGCUUUACAGGUCGGAAAAGAAUUUAGCCCUCAGAGGGCUCAACACCUGAGAUUCCCCCCAAAAAAACACAUCUUUAAUUCAUCUUGUUGGGCUUUUAUUGCUCUUUGAUUACGGCUGAGCUGCCCUAAUGAGAACAACAGUACCUCCCCAGCCCAAAAGCAUCUCUUCGUGUGAAUCUCACCCCGUGAGUCAUUACAUUUACUUAUCCCCGUAUUUAUUGCAGCAAAUCCUUUGCUUACUUUGCACAGCCGACCACCCUGCUUGGUAUUUGUUGUUCUCCUUGGAAUUGCAGCAGCCGCGGUAGGACAAACAUUUUGUUUUUCUGCAGCAUUCACUCAUUUAGAGAUCUGCACUGUGUUUUUUUCUUGGAUUUCCCCACCGUUUUAUGCUGCCCGUGUUACAGCCUCGAAGCCUUUUCCCACUGAGCGUAAAGCGCAUUAAGCAGCAUGUGCAAAUGAGCACCAGCACAUCUGCUAAUUGUGCUAACAGAUGGAAAUAGGAACAAAAGUUACUUUUGGAGAGCUAGAAAUAUUUAUAGGAGCCAUCAUCCAUCGCUCCCAACGCUUUGAUUACGGAUGGAGCCUCUUUGUGGUGCGCGAAAGUUGAUUAAGCUUUUGCAGAUGGUUUGACUGGAGGUAAUGAGAGAAAUGUGAAAGAAAUGCAGAUGUCUUACAGCUUCUGAUUUACGUGCUUUAGGCAAAUAAAUGGCUGAACAGGAGAGCUUUUGUUUUGGGUUAUUUAGGAAAAAAA